rnacentral:rRNA from 1 species
GUGGGGAAUAUUGGACAAUGGGCGAAAGCCUGAUCCAGCCAUGCCGCGUGUGUGAAGAAGGUCUUCGGAUUGUAAAGCACUUUAAGUUGGGAGGAAGGGCAGUAAGUUAAUACCUUGCUGUUUUGACGUUACCGACAGAAUAAGCACCGGCUAACUUCGUGCCAGCAGCCGCGGUAAUACGAAGGGUGCAAGCGUUAAUCGGAAUUACUGGGCGUAAAGCGCGCGUAGGUGGUUCAGCAAGUUGGAGGUGAAAUCCCCGGGCUCAACCUGGGAACUGCCUCCAAAACUACUGGGCUAGAGUACGGUAGAGGGUAGUGGAAUUUCCUGUGUAGCGGUGAAAUGCGUAGAUAUAGGAAGGAACACCAGUGGCGAAGGCGACUACCUGGACUGAUACUGACACUGAGGUGCGAAAGCGUGGGGAGCAAACAGGAUUAGAAACCCUUGUAGUCC